AGAGUUUGAUCCUGGCUCAGGAUGAACGCUGGCGGCGUGCUUAACACAUGCAAGUCGAACGAUUAAGACGGCUUCGGCCGUGUAUAGAGUGGCGAACGGGUGAGUAACACGUGACCAACCUGCCCCGCGCUCCGGGACAACCGCUGGAAACGGCGGCUAAUACCGGAUGCUCCGGGGAGGCCCCAUGGCCUCCCCGGGAAAGCCUUAACGGCGCGGGAUGGGGUCGCGGCCCAUUAGGUAGACGGCGGGGUAACGGCCCACCGUGCCCGCGAUGGGUAGCCGGACUGAGAGGUCGACCGGCCACAUUGGGACUGAGAUACGGCCCAGACUCCUACGGGAGGCAGCAGUGGGGAAUUUUGCGCAAUGGGGGAAACCCUGACGCAGCAACGCCGCGUGCGGGACGAAGGCCUUCGGGUUGUAAACCGCUUUCAGCAGGGAAGACAUAGACGGUACCUGCAGAAGAAGCUCCGGCUAACUACGUGCCAGCAGCCGCGGUAAUACGUAGGGGGCGAGCGUUAUCCGGAUUCAUUGGGCGUAAAGCGCGCGUAGGCGGCCGCCUAAGCGGAACCUCUAAUCCCGGGGCUCAACCUCGGGCCGGGUUCCGGACUGGGCGGCUCGAGUGCGGUAGAGGCAGGCGGAAUUCCCGGUGUAGCGGUGGAAUGCGCAGAUAUCGGGAAGAACACCGAUGGCGAAGGCAGCCUGCUGGGCCGCCACUGACGCUGAGGCGCGAAAGCUGGGGGAGCGAACAGGAUUAGAUACCCUGGUAGUCCCAGCCGUAAACGAUGGACGCUAGGUGUGGGGGGACCAUCCCCCCGUGCCGCAGCCAACGCAUUAAGCGUCCCGCCUGGGGAGUACGGCCGCAAGGCUAAAACUCAAAGGAAUUGACGGGGGCCCGCACAAGCAGCGGAGCAUGUGGCUUAAUUCGAAGCAACGCGAAGAACCUUACCAGGGCUUGACAUGAUAGUGAAGCGGUGGAAACACCGUGGCCGAAAGGAGCUAUCACAGGUGGUGCAUGGCUGUCGUCAGCUCGUGUCGUGAGAUGUUGGGUUAAGUCCCGCAACGAGCGCAACCCCCGUCCCGUGUUGCCAGCAUUGAGUUGGGGACUCGCGGGAGACUGCCGGCGUCAAGCCGGAGGAAGGUGGGGACGACGUCAAGUCAUCAUGCCCCUUAUGCCCUGGGCUGCACACGUGCUACAAUGGCCGGUACAGAGGGUUGCCACCCCGCGAGGGGGAGCGGAUCCCGGAAAGCCGGUCCCAGUUCGGAUCGCAGGCUGCAACCCGCCUGCGUGAAGUCGGAGUUGCUAGUAAUCGCGGAUCAGCAUGCCGCGGUGAAUACGUUCCCGGGCCUUGUACACACCGCCCGUCACACCACCCGAGUCGUCUGCACCCGAAGCCGCCGGCCGAACCCUUCUGGGGCGGAGGCGUCGAAGGUGUGGAGGGUAAGGGGGGUGAAGUCGUAACAAGGUAGCCGUACCGGAAGGUGCGGCUG
rnacentral:rRNA from 1 species